CCAUACAUGAAUUCUACAGGGAAUGGAUCCGGUUCUAAUCCGAGUACAAAACGUACUCGUCUGCAAACUUCCAAUCAAGAAUGCCAAAAUUCUGUAGCAGAUGGACUGAAUUCUAGUAGUACUGUUGUCACCACAGAACGAACUACUACUGGGUAUACCUAAACUACAAACUCGAAUGACAAGGAUUAGAGUUAGUGCACGUCUU